UGGGUAACACUUUUGGUAAGAUGUACUGGUUCAUUUGCAGAAACCGAUUUUGGAUCGGCGCUUUCUAUGGUAAGUGUGUACAUGUCAGAAAAUCUGGGUAAUUUGGAGGAAACUACCAAACCGGUACUGGUAAAGGAACCCUUCAGAGGAUAAGUAAACAGAAUGGCAUUCUUCUCCUUAGUGUAUAUGAUCAGCUGCAAUACCAAGUUGAAGACUAC
rnacentral:lncRNA from 1 species